UCCAGGCCCUACGGGGUGCAGCAGGCGCGAAACCUCCGCAAUGUGAGAAAUCGCGACGGGGGGAUCCCAAGUGCCAUUCUUAACGGGAUGGCUUUUCAUUAGUGUAAAGAGCUUUUGGAAUAAGAGCUGGGCAAGACCGGUGCCAGCCGCCGCGGUAACACCGGCAGCUCUAGUGGUAGCAGUUUUUAUUGGGCCUAAAGCGUCCGUAGCCGGUUUAAUAAGUCUCUGGUGAAAUCCUGCAGCUUAACUGUGGGAAUUGCUGGAGAUACUAUUAGACUUGAGAUCGGGAGAGGUUAGAGGUACUCCCAGGGUAGAGGUGAAAUUCUGUAAUCCUGGGAGGACCGCCUGUUGCGAAGGCGUCUGACUGGAACGAUUCUGACGGUGAGGGACGAAAGCUAGGGGCGCGAACCGGAUUAGAUACCCGGGUAGUCCUAGCUGUAAACGAUGCGGACUUGGUGUUGGGGUGGCUUUGAGCUGUCCCAGUGCCGAAGGGAAGCUGUUAAGUCCGCCGCCUGGGAAGCACGGUCGCAAGACUGAAACUUAAAGGAAUUGGCGGGGGAGCACCACAACGCGUGGAGCCUGCGGUUUAAUUGGAGUCAACGCCGG
rnacentral:rRNA from 1 species